rnacentral:rRNA from 1 species
UACGAAGGGGGCUAGCGUUGUUCGGAAUUACUGGGCGCAAAGCGCGUGUAGGCGGGCCGUUAAGACGGGGGUGAAAGCCCAGAGCUCAACUCUGGAAUUGACUUCGAUACUGGCGGCCUGGAGCAUGAUAGAGGCGAGUGGAAAUGCGAGUGUAGAGGUGAAAAUCGUAGAAAUUUGCAGGAACACCAGUGGCGAAGGCGACUCGCUGGAUCAUUGCUGACGCUGAGACGCGAAAGCGUGGGGAGCAAACAGG